UAGGGCCUGUGUCUCCAGUGCUCAGAUCUUAAGCAUCUGCUGCAAGCAUGGGUGACCCCCAUCGUGGAACGAACCCACUCUCUGGUAACUGCAAUGUGAGCCUUCUGCUUGCAAUCUCUCCCAGGGCUGAUGUUGAGUUCAGAUCAGCUGGAUCUGGUCUACAGCACGCUGGGGCUCUGCCUGUGCACCGUCCUUUGCCGCUUCCUGGUGACAGUGGCCUGCUUCCUCAAGAAGAGGGGGGAUCCCCGCUCCUGCCAGUCCCACUCAAGUCCCUGUCAAAGUCUGGCCAAGUCUUCCCAUGAUCACGAGAUGAAAGCCAGCAGCCCUGGGGCACGUCUCCUGAGCCAGGGGAGACCUGCAGCUUCUGCUUCCCUGAGCACAGCACGCCCACCCAGGAGAGCGCGGUCAUACCUGGGACCCUCAACCCUGUGGGUGAUGGAAGGUGGAGGCAUCCUGUGAGGGUGCCCUGAUAGAUGGCAGCCUUGGCAUUGUGUGCGGACACACCCAAGAGAGGGUCCUAAGUGCUGGAACAGGGGCAAGGAGGAAGAGGAGGAGGGAAAGAGAUGGAGAGAGAGAGAGGAAAAAAAGAGAGAUGAAGAGAAAGACAGAGGAGGCAGAGAGGAAGAGAGAGACAGAGCAGGAGGUCGUGGCACUCUGGGUCCCAGUUCCCAGUGCAGCUGUAGGUUGCCAUCACCUAACCACAUGUGCAAUAAAGUCCUCGUGCCUCCUGCUCACAGCCCCCGAGAGCCCCUCCUCCUGGAGAAUAAAACCUUAGGCGGCUGCCCUUCC
rnacentral:lncRNA from 1 species